GACGAACGCUGGCGGCGUGCCUAAUACAUGCAAGUCGAGCGAAUCUUGAGGUGCUUGCACCUCUUGGUUAGCGGCGGACGGGUGAGUAACACGUGGGCAACCUGCCUGUAAGACUGGGAUAACACCGGGAAACCGGUGCUAAUACCGGAUAAUUCUUUUUCUCUCAUGAGGAAAAGCUGAAAGACGGUUUCGGCUGUCACUUACAGAUGGGCCCGCGGCGCAUUAGCUAGUUGGUGAGGUAACGGCUCACCAAGGCGACGAUGCGUAGCCGACCUGAGAGGGUGAUCGGCCACACUGGGACUGAGACACGGCCCAGACUCCUACGGGAGGCAG
rnacentral:rRNA from 1 species